CCUACGGGUGGCAGCAGUGAGGAAUAUUGGUCAAUGGGCGCAAGCCUGAACCAGCCAAGUCGCGUGAAGGAAGACGGCCCUACGGGUUGUAAACUUCUUUUAUAGAGGAAUAAAGGUAUGCGCGUGUGGCUUUUUGUAUGUACUUUAUGAAUAAGGAUCGGCUAACUCCGCGCCAGCAGCCGCGGUAAUACGGAGGAUCCGAGCGUUAUCCGGAUUUAUUGGGUUUAAGGGGAGCGUAGAUUGGUUUUUAAGUCAGUUGUGAAUGUUUGCGGCUCAACCGUAGAAUUGCAAUUGAUACUGGAAGACUUGAGUGCAGUUGAGGUAGGCGGAAUGCGUGGUGUAGCGGUGAAAUGCAUAGAUAUAGCGCAGAACUCCGAUUGCGAAGGCAGCUUGCUGGGCCAUAACUGACGCUGAGGCACGAAAGCGUGGGUAUCAAACAGGAUUAGAUACCCCGGUAGUC
rnacentral:rRNA from 1 species